AACCCUCACAUAUAUAGUCAAAUAAUUUUGACAAGGUUGCCAAGAUCAUUCAAUGGGGGGAAAGGACAGUCUUUUCAAAAUAUGGUUCAGGGGGAAUUGG